GGGCGAGCGUUAUCCGGAUUCAUUGGGCGUAAAGCGCGCGUAGGCGGAGCGCUAAGCGGGACCUCUAACCCGAGGGCUCAACCCCCGGCCGGGUCCCGAACUGGCGCUCUCGAGUGCGGUAGGGGAGAGCGGAAUUCCCGGUGUAGCGGUGGAAUGCGCAGAUAUCGGGAAGAACACCGACGGCGAAGGCAGCUCUCUGGGCCGAAACUGACGCUGAGGCGCGAAAGCUGGGGGAGC
rnacentral:rRNA from 1 species